CAUGCCGCGUGUGUGAAGAAGGCUUUCGGGUUGUAAAGCACUUUCAGUCGGGAGGAAAAGCUCGUCGUUAAUAGCGGCGAGUGUUGACGUUACCGGCAGAAGAAGCACCGGCUAACUCCGUGCCAGCAACGUCGGUGACUGAGCGGGCUGGCAAGGCGCAUA
rnacentral:rRNA from 1 species